GACGAACGCUGGCGGCGUGCCUAAUACAUGCAAGUAGGACGCAGUUGCGAAAGGGUGAGUAACGCGUAGGUAACUACCUAUUAGAGGGGGAUAACUAUUGGAAACGAUAGCUAAUACCGCAUACUAGUAGAUGGACCUGCGUUGUAUUAGCUAGUAGGUAGGGUAAUGGCCUAACUAGGCAACGUUACAUAGCCGAGUUGGGGGGGUGAUGGGGCAACCUGGGCAUGGGGAACGGGCCAGACUCCCACGGGAGGCAGCAGUAGGGAAACUUCGGACAUGGGGGGAACGCUGGACACAGCACGCCGGCGGAGUGAAGAAGGUUUUCGGGUCGUAAAGCUCUGUUGGUACGGAAGCGGUACUUAAACAGAAAGGGACGGCUAACUCCGUGCCAGCAGCCGCGGUAAUUC
rnacentral:rRNA from 1 species